rnacentral:rRNA from 1 species
UUGAAAGGGAAACGAUUGAAGUCAGUCGUACCGACGAGAAAUCAACUUUUCGAAUGUGCAUUUGUGGGCGUAUGAGAUCUUCAUUGUUUACAAUAUGUAUGUUUCUUUGGUGUACUUUUUCGUAUGGUAGGUCAAUGUCGGUUUUGAUCGCCAUAAAAUGAUCGGAGGAAUGUAGCUUCGGCUUCGGUUGAAGUGUUAUAGCCUUUGGUAAAUGUGGUGAUUAAGACCGAGGAUUGCAACGAAUACCUUUUAGGCUAUCCGUCUGACCUCUGAAAGUUACUUAGGUGCCGAAAGCUUGCUUACGGUCAUUUAAGUUGACGGUCAAUAGGUUAGAACGUGAUCACAUUCGUUAAGGAUGUUGACGUA